rnacentral:rRNA from 1 species
GGGCCGCACAAGCGGCGGAGCAUGCGGAUUAAUUCGAUGCAACGCGAAGAACUUACCAAGGCUUGACAUGAACCUGAAAUACCUGGAAACAGGUGCCCCGCUUGCGGUCGGUUACAGGUGGUGCA